rnacentral:rRNA from 1 species
ACGAACGCUGGCGGCGUGCUUAACACAUGCAAGUCGAACGGUGAAGCGCCUUCCUUUUUGGUGGGUGUGGAUGAGUGGCGAACGGGUGAGUAACACGUGAGUAACCUGCCCCCUUCUUCUGGAUAACCGCAUGAAAGUGUGGCUAAUACGGGAUAUUCUGGGUCUGUCGCAUGAUGGGUCUGGGAAAGAUAUUGUUUCGGUGGGGGAUGGGCUCGCGGCCUAUCAGCUUGUUGGUGGGGUGAUGGCCUACCAAGGCGGUGACGGGUAGCCGGCCUGAGAGGGUGGACGGGCACACUGGGACUGAGACACGGCCCAGACUCCUACGUGGGGCAGCAGUGGGGAAUAUUGCACAAUGGGCGCAAGCCUGAUGCAGCGACGCCGGGUGAGGGAUGGAGGCCUUCGGGUUGUGAACCUCUUUCGCCAGUGAAGCAGGCCUGCCUCGUUUGUGGGUGGGUUGACGGUAGCUGGAUAAGAAGCGCCGGCUAACUACGUG